AGCUUAUAACACAUAAUUUUGCUAAGUCUAUAAGGUCGUAGUAGAAGAGCUAAUGAAAAUCCACCCGGAAUCGGAUAAAGGAAAGUAGGAAGCAAACUCUACAAAGAAAGGGAAUAAUUGUAGUAGUUAGUCCAUGAACUAAAAUUAGUACAAUUUCUGCUACUUUACAUUAGAUGCAAUCUUAUCAAUCCACAGUCAAAAAGUUUUUAAGGGUGAAAAAUUUUGAAGGUAAAAUGACCUGAAGAAUAUUUUAAGUUGUCCUAUUAGUUUGGCUAAUCCCCUUUAUCCAGCUUUGUCGAUCAUCUUAAAGGAGACCAAAAGAUCUGUAGAAGAGAAAAAAUAUC
rnacentral:lncRNA from 1 species